AGCUCCAAUAGCGUAUGUUUAAGUUGUUGCAGUUAUAAAGCUCGUAGUUGGAUUUCGGGUGGGCUGCGUCGGUCUCCGUUCGGUUGUACUAGCGACGCCCGCCUUGCUGCCGGGGACGGGCUGCCUGCCUUAACUGUCGGGCACCCGGAGUCGGCGACGUUACUUUGAGUAAAUUAGAGUGUUCAAAGCAAGCCACCGCUCUGAAUAUAAUAGCAUGGGAUAACACGACAGGACUCCGGCCUAUCGUGUUGGUCUGUAGGACCAGAGUAAUGAUUAAGAGGGACAGUCGGGGGCAUCCGUAUUCCGUUGUCAGAGGUGAAAUUCUUGGAUUUACGGAAGACGAACAUCUGCGAAAGCAUUUGCCAAGGAUGUUUUCA
rnacentral:rRNA from 1 species